AUAUACAAACAAAGUGAAUGUCAAGUUGUCAACACAGCAGAUGGUAUAACAUUAGUACCAGCGGAUGUAAUUUGAAGACAUGAUAUUAUCACUCCUUCGUUCACGAUCUCACCACUUCAACCCCUCCCGCACCCACUUCACUCUCCCUUUAUCGCUGUUCUUCCGCCGCUCAAUGGCCCCAACCAACGAGUCUGCCAGCCCAUCAAACGCCCGCGUUGGCUGGAUUGGCACCGGAGUGAUGGGCCGCUCCAUGUGUGCCCACCUAGUCAAAGCCGGCUACACUCUCACCGUCUUCACUCGGACCCUCUCUAAGGCCCGGCCUCUCGUUGACAUGGGGGCCAACUUUGCUCAAUCUCCUCUUCCCGUCGCCUCUCAAUCUGAUGUCGUUUUCGCUAUCGUCGGCUUUCCCUCCGCCGUCCGUCAAGUCCUCCUGGAUUCCACCACAGGAGCUCUCCAAGGCCUCCGCCCGGGUGGAAGCCUCGUUGACAUGACCGCAUCCGAUCCCUCCCUCGCCUCCGAGAUCUCCGCAGCGGCAUCCGCCAAAAAUUGCCACUCUAUUGAUGCUCCAGUCUCCGGAGGUGUCCGCGGUGCUAAGAAGGGAACCCUUGCAAUAUUCGCUGGAGGGGAUAAGGCAGUUAUCGAUCGCUUGAAUCCCCUGUUUGCUCUCAUGGGAAAGGUUAAUUACAUGGGUGCGCCUGGCAAAGGCCAAUUUGCGAAGCUGGCAAAUCAAAUUACCAUAGCUUCUACCAUGGUUGGCCUGGUGGAGGGGAUUAUUUAUGCAUAUAAAGCUGGACUCAACGUGGAACACUACUUAAACGCCAUAUCUACAGGCGCUGCCGGGUCAAAGUCCCUUGAUUUAUACGGCGCUAGAAUAUUAAAGAGGGAUUUUGAGGCAGGGUUCUAUGUCAACCAUUUUGUGAAAGACUUGGGGAUUUGUUUAAAGGAGUGUCAAAACAUGGGUCUUGCAUUGCCAGGAUUGGCUUUAGCUCAACAGCUUUAUUUGUCGCUUAAGGCUCAUGGAGAAGGUAAUUUGGGUACCCAAGCGCUCAUUUUGGCUCUGGAGAGGCUCAACAAUGUCUCUCUUGAAAAUCUGGCUUCUUUGCAACCUGCAGCUUAGCCUGGUACUGAUUGUGGAUAGUUAAAUUACUGUACACUUGUUUAUUAUGGAUUUAUGGAAUUAUCAUUUCUGGUAAUGAACAUAAAGUUCAUUUUGAGACUUGUGCUAUUUCAUACAAUGUGUUUAGUCUUCUUAUUCACAUAUGGUUGUUUCUGCCGUAUGGUGUUUCUUAUUUGCCUUCUUGCUUGUCCUACAAAAUACAUGACUCAUAAGUAUGUGAGUGAUUGUCAAUCUUAUACUACUUUACCUAGUUGUUUAGGUAUGUGUAUUAGCAGAUGCUUGAUUAUAAUUACCCUCCAUAUUUUAGUUUUAUAUGGAUUACUUGUUCGUAGUUAAUGGGUCUUUAUUGGAUCUUCAUUCAAAUGAAAUCAAAGUUAAAUUCUCCUUUAAAAUUAGUUCACCCAAUUAUUUUGAGUGCUAAUUUAGUGAUAGGAAUCGCCCAAUAUUGCUGAAUGGAAACAUGCUCAAUUAAAGCCAGUUUGGUCUUGCAGUGGUCAAAAGUAGGAUCCCAAACACUGGGUGGAGCGCUAUUCUGUGUAUCUCCUUUACUACUCAUGGUCAAGCCAAUAGACUUCCUCAACAACCAAGUGUUAAUGUGGUCAAGUCAAUAGGGUUUUGGUCUAGAUUCAUCUGAAUGUUGCGUCCCCGCUAAAUAUCUUUUUGGAAAAUAUGAAUGGACUGUCACUUCCCCCUGUUAUAGAUUAUGUUUGUGUGAGCUUUUUUAGCAGUAACAGUAGUUGGCAACGGUACUAACAAUCUUACAGACUCCACUUCUGCAUUUCAGGAUUAUGGGAAUUGAAAGUUAUAUAUCCAAUAUCUUGUAUUUCUCUAAGAUUUUGUAAAUUGUAUAGUAACUGUAAGGUAAUCCGUUUUUGUUUAGAAAAAUUAGUAUUUUGGUCCUGUAAGCUAAUAGAAUACUUCUCUGAGGAUCGAAUACUUCUUGAUUGCUAUUGUAAGUGUAAGAUCAUGGUCUAGAGAAAUUAAAAUUCAUGUUGGUUCCCGGCAAAUGAUGUCGAAAAGCUUGCCAAGCUAGUUGUUUUGCAUUGGUGUUUAGGGAUUAUUCCAAAUUUUGUGAUGUAAUAACCAUGAAAUUGUCUAAAUUCUUUGAUGACUGAGAUUGAUCUUAUAGCUGCCCCUUCUUUUCUGCGUUUUGGAUUUGAUGUUCUUACUUCUUAAUUAUCUAUGCGCACGUGGAUAGUUUGAACUGGUGUUUAGGAUUUAUUCCAAACUUUGUGCUGCAAUAGCGACGAAAUUGUCUAAAUUCUUUGGUGACUGAGGUUGGUGAUAUAAAUUGUUUAAAUUUUAGUGCCUAUACUGUUCAUUGAUUUCUGCAUGUGGAUUUGAUUGUUCCUAGUUGUUAGUGAUUCAUAUACAGACGGCAACGGAGUAGAGUUUCAGAUUAUCCAGUUGUCCUCAAAUGAACUGAUGUACCUUUUGAUGCAUAUCUAUCAAUAAUGAAGCUAGUUGUCUCUCUUUAAAGAGUUGCUCAAAUAUCAUUUUAGGUUGUUACAUCUUUCUGCCACAUUGUAUUGUUGAUCCUGGGAUCUAUAACUUGCAUUGGACACGGUAUAUAGUUCAUAAAAAAUGGACAUGUUUGAGCCCUGAAGUUUGUCCCGCAGGCUUUUCUCGCUAAGUUUGCUUCUGAUAUGCAAAUUUGUUUGAUUCUUUGUAUUUCACAUUCUUCAAGAAGUUCUCAACUAAAUUCUUGACCCACUUUCCUGUGCAGAAUUUUAUAAUCAAUGUCAUAAAAUUGAAAAUGUUAAAUUCUUUCAAGUGAAUUUUUAUUUAUAUCAGAUAUGGAACUGUGAAUAUGUAAAUGAACUUUAUUAAAAUUUAUUUAUAUAAAGCAAUACGAGAAGAGCAUCGUUAGAGACAGGAAAGAAAGGAGUCAUGGAGACGAAUAUGUGGCCAUGAAUGAUAGAUAACCUCACCUCACAAUAAUCUUGUAUGACAAGAAAAGUCAAAGUCAAUGUUCAACAUAGGUGUGCUUUUAUAAUUCUUAGUCUUCUCGAAGUCGGAUUAAUUGGCGUGAGAAAUGUAAUUGUUGAACAGCAAGAUCCUCUAGUUGUAUUAUCCAAGUUGACUUUCAAACAUAAUUAAUUAUUAUAUAUACUUAUACUUUCUUUUGCUUAAUUAUAUUAAACACGUACUUUGUUGUUAGACGAGAAGUUGGAAAUGCAAUAAUGCCACUAUUUUCACUCUUUUAGUCUUUUUGAAGGGCCUAAUACAUAAUUCCACACCACUUAAAUAUAUAAAAAUUAUUUUAUUAAACAUUUUGAUUUAUAAAAUUAGAUCAUUUAAAUAUUUAUUUAAACCAUUGAAACAUGUGAAAAUUAUUAUUUAAAAAAAAUAUGUCAAUUACACAUAAAAAAAUUGCAUAUAAAAAUUAAAAAUUUUAAAAUUAUUGUUAAUAUGAAAAUAUUUAUAAUAUUAUCAAAAUUUAUAAUUUCAAGUGCAUAAUAAUUUAUUCACACAGUUAAUGAUGUCAUUGGUUAAAGUUUGCAAAGUUUCUUUCUUUUUUUAAUGCUUUCCUUUUGAAAAAGAAAAUUAGAGGCACCUAAAUGAAAACAGAAAAGUCUACGGAAAAAAAAAAAAAACAAAGGGCCCGGUUGACAGAUGACUUGAAAAUUGCAGUUGGCGUCCUUAAAACAAAAAGAGCAGAGUAACCAUGUUCGAAGUUUGAAAGGAGUUGCCGUUGGUUUUCACAUUUCUUGUCUCUGUCUGCAGAACACGACCCCAAGAAGAGAACCCAUCUUUCCCAGAAUCUCAUCUUCAAUCUCAAUUUCCCAAAUGUCGAAAAUAACCCCCAUUUUUCUCUCAAUUCACUUCUUCACUCUUCUACUUUCCCUCCUCACCUAUGCCAAUUCGCAGCUUUACGAUCAAGAACAAGAAAUCUUGCUGAGACUAAAACAACACUGGCGAAACCAACCCGUUCUUGAUCAAUGGACCCCUUCUACCUCUUCUUCUUAUUGCACUUGGCCAGGAGUCAACUGCAAUAGCAACAACUCUUCCAUUGUUGGUCUUGGCUUAGCCAACAUGAGCAUAUCUGGAACUAUCCCACCUUUCAUUUGUGACCUCAAAAACCUUACUGUUGUUAAUUUUUAUAACAAUAGUUUUACUGGGACAUUUCCUGUAUCUCUUUUUAACUGUUCCAAGCUUGAAUAUUUAGAUCUUGCUCAAAACUACUUCGUUGGGAAACUUCCUGAUGAUAUUGACCGCUUAUCUCGCCUCUCAUAUCUUAAUCUUUAUGCUAAUAAUUUUACUGGUAAUGUUCCAGUUGCUAUUGGACGAUUGCAGGAGCUGAGGAAUCUUCAGCUUCAGCAGAAUCAGUUUAAUGGCACUUUCCCUUCAGAAAUUGGUGAGUUGUUUAACCUUGAAGUGUUANNNNNNNNNNNNNNNNNNNNNNNNNNNNNNNNNNNNNNNNNNNNNNNNNNNNNNNNNNNNNNNNNNNNNNNNNNNNNNNNNNNNNNNNNNNNNNNNNNNNNNNNNNNNNNNNNNNNNNNNNNNNNNNNNNNNNNNNNNNNNNNNNNNNNNNNNNNNNNNNNNNNNNNNNNNNNNNNNNNNNNNNNNNNNNNNNNNNNNNNNNNNNNNNNNNNNNNNNNNNNNNNNNNNNNNNNNNNNNNNNNNNNNNNNNNNNNNNNNNNNNNNNNNNNNNNNNNNNNNNNNNNNNNNNNNNNNNNNNNNNNNNNNNNNNNNNNNNNNNNNNNNNNNNNNNNNNNNNNNNNNNNNNNNNNNNNNNNNNNNNNNNNNNNNNNNNNNNNNNNNNNNNNNNNNNNNNNNNNNNNNNNNNNNNNNNNNNNNNNNNNNNNNNNNNNNNNNNNNUUCCAACAGGUUUACAGGGAAGCUACCUGAAUUCUUAUGCAGUAAUGGGAAGUUAGUAGGACUAGUAGCUUUCGACAGUAGUCUCAGCGGACCAUUGCCAGAAUCACUUGGUAACUGCAGUAGUUUGCUAAUGUUACACAUUUCAAAUAAUGCAUUUUCUGGAAAUAUUCCUGUUGGUCUAUGGCAAGCUUUAAAUAUGAGUUUUUUUAUGAUAAGCGAUAAUUUGUUUACUGGAGAGCUUCCUACUGAAGUUUCAAGGAAUCUUCAACGGCUAGAGAUCAGUAACAACAGGUUUUCUGGCAAGAUUCCUACUGGAGAUUCUUGGAGGAAUCUGGUGGUUUUUAAUGCCAGCAAUAACCAAUUAUCUGGUACAAUUCCUCAAGAAUUAACUGCUCUUCCUUUCCUUACCACUCUUUUGCUUGAUAGGAACCAACUCAGCGGAGCGCUUCCAUCUGAUAUAGUCUCAUGGAAGUCAUUGAAUACUCUGAACCUGAGUCGAAAUCAACUUUCUGGAGAAAUUCCAGGGGAACUUGCUCUUCUACCUACACUUCUUGACCUGGAUUUGUCAGAUAACCAGUUUUCUGGCCAUAUUCCAACCCAAUUUAGCUCCCCAAAGUUUAAUCUUCUCAAUCUUUCUUCAAAUCAUCUUUCAGGAGAAAUUCCAAGCCAGCUAGAAAUUUCUGCUUAUAACAACAGUUUCUUGAACAAUCCUGGCCUUUGUGCCAGUAAUUCAUUGCUAAAUCUUCACGUUUGCAAUUCUAAACCCCAAGAAUCAAGCAGAAGAUCAACAAAUUUCAUAGCUUUAAUAUCAGCAGUUUUUGCAACAGCUUCUGUGCUAUCUUUGUUACUCUCAUUUUUAAUUAUCAGAGUUCAUCAGAAGAAAAAGUGCAGAUUAAAUUCAACAUGGAAGUUUACCUCAUUCCAAAAAUUGAGUUUCACUGAAUCAGAUAUUCUGUCACAAUUAACAGAAAGUAACCUGAUAGGAACUGGAGGAUCAGGAAAAGUCCACCGUGUUGCUAUAAGCAGAUCAGGCGAUUUUGUUGCUGUGAAGAGAAUAUUGAGUGAAAGAAAGUUAGAGCAAAAGCUCGAGAAACAAUUCGAAGCAGAAGUUGAAAUAUUGAGUAGAAUAAGGCAUUUGAACAUAGUUAAGCUGCUUUGCUGUAUUUGUAAUGAUGAUUCAAAACUUCUUGUUUAUGAGUACAUGGAGAAAAGAAGCCUAGACCAAUGGCUGCAUGUGAAGAAAAGAUCGGUAAGUGUCUACUUAGACUGGCCUACGAGGUUUCGGAUUGCAAUAGGAGCUGCACAAGGCCUGUCUUACUUGCACCAUGACUGCUUGCCUCCUAUUAUUCAUCGAGAUGUCAAAUCAAGCAAUAUUCUGCUAGAUUCUUCUUUCAAUGCAAAAAUUGCUGAUUUCGGUUUGGCAAGAUUGUUGGUUAAGCACGGCAAAGCCACAGUAUCAACUGUAGCUGGAUCUUUUGGCUAUAUAGCUCCAGGUUUGCAAAAAUUCAUGUUUCCAUUACCAAAAUAAGUAAGUAAAGAGUUCAAUUAAAUAAAAUGUUUUAUGUUUCACAACUUCGAACUGCAGAAUAUGCUGUGACCUCAAGAGUGAAUGAGAAAACUGAUGUCUAUAGCUUCGGAGUUGUGCUUCUGGAACUAACAACCAGAAAGGAGGCUAAUUUUGGGGAUGAGAAUACUUGCUUGGCCGAUUGGGCAUGGCGUUACAUGAAUGAAGGAAAAGCAAUUGUUGAUGCCUUGGAUAAGGAGAUAAAAGAGGCAUCAUACUUGGAUAAAAUGACCAUUGUUUUUAAACUUGGAGUUAGGUGUACCAGCAAAUUGCCUUCUGCUAGGCCUUCCAUGAGAGAGGUAUUGCAGAUCCUUGUUCGAUGCAGAAAUCCACUUGCUUAUGGACUUGAAGAAAAUGGAAGAGAGAAUGAUGACGCUCCCUUAUUUUAUUCAAAGCAUGGACAGAUGCCAGAUAGUGAUGAUAACUUGUAUUCUCAUCUUCCCCCCAAAACUACUUGUAGUUUCAGCAACAGUAGAGUAUCUUAAACUGUGUAAUAUAUACAUAUAUAAUAUUUUUAGGCAAGCAUAUAAUGAGUUAGACUACAGGCCGAGUAUCUGGCUCCUACUAUUGUUUCCCUUUAUAUAUAUAUAUAUAUAUAUAUAUAUAUGAGAAAUUAGAUAAUAAAUAUGAAAGACCAAAUAGUCAAAUAUUAUAUGAUAUUUCAAAUUUCAUUAAUUUUUAAUGAAAUAUUUCAAACAAAAUGUUGAUUAAUUUUAAUUUUUGAAGUCAGUAGUUAAAUCCGAUCCAAAAAUCUGAUAAAUCCGAUCCAUUGCCUUUACCCGAAUUUAUUGAGUCAUAUAAAAAUUGCCUUUGGACCUAAACAUUGACAAAUGCUCGCAGUCGAUCUCUGAGGGGCCCGGCCCACAUUGUCAAGAGCAAAGCUUUCUGCUGUGGGCUAAAUGGGCCAACUUUUUGCUCCUUGUCUUUCCAGGUUAUCGGUCCAGGGAUGCACUUGACAGGCCCAUUACAUAUUUUUUCGCAAUGUAUGAAGGGACCAUCAUCAUCCCAUAUAAAACAAAUCACGUGUUUAGCAUAUUUGUUAAAAAGAUAUAAUUUAACUCAUGGUGCAUCCGAAAGACUUCCUCAACGACCAAAGAAUUGGUCAAGUCAAAAAGGGUCUUUGGCCUUUUACCCUACUACUUUUUGAAAAGAAAUAAAUUUUAAUUUGCGUCUACAAUUAAAAAAAAAAAAAAAAAAAAAGCCUAGCAUUGAAUUUGUAUUUUACUGAGGUCAUAAACUGAUAUCAUGAGACUUCUUGCACUUUGAUAAUGAGUUAAGAGGCAAAUUGAGCCAAAAAAUAACUCAAUUUUUACAUUUUUUUUUCUGUAAUUACAAGUUCAAAGGGUAAUUGAACUUUUUUUUCCCACUGAUACAUGAGUGGAACAUCAUCGCACUGUUGCAUAUUAUUAUAUAUAUAUUUUUUCAUUAAGUUAGUUGAAGUCGUACAAUUACAUUUCUGUUGCAAUUUUAGUAGUAGUAAAAGAAGUUGGCGCUAAGGAUCCUGCAGACUCUAUUUCUAGAUUUCAAGAUUAGGGGGAAAUGAAAGUUAUAUAUCUAAAAUCUUGAAUUUCUCCAAGAUUUUGCAAUAAAAUAACCCAUUUUUGUUUAGACAAACUAGUAUUUUGGUCCUGUAAGCUAAUAGAAUACUCAUCCAAGAAUUGAAUACGUAUUUGCAAGAAAAUGUUGUAAAGAAAUUAAACUCCAUGACCUUUAUAAAAAGGGCUCAAAAUUCAUUUUUCUUAUAAACUACAAUAUCCUAUUCUAUUACAUCUACCUCAGGUUCAUUGCCUUGUGCAUUGGAUUGAUUCCAUCUCGACAUAAUGCGACAAGUGAUGUGGAAAAGCUUGCGAGCUUGUCGCUUGACUACUGUUUUGGGUUCAUUCCAAAUUUUCCAACGUCUCAACAACGAUGACUCAGAUUGAUUUGUUGGAUUGAGGUUCCUAAUUGUUUGUGAUUCCUACACUUGUGCAGUACCUAGAUUUUUCAUGUAUAUCUAUCAAAAAUUGGAGCAUCCUGUUGAGUGGACAUGCAGAACCCAAGUGUAGCUUUUGGUUGCUGAGAAACAUGGAUUAUGGCUUUGACUUGGUCAAUAAUAGAACUUUGAUGUUUGGUUUAUUACAUUCAUUUCACCUAUUAUUUUAGGGCAAUGAUAUAUAGGAAUCAUCCAACAACCCAAAUGUAAAUAAAAAAUAAAAAAUAAAAAAUAAAAGAAAGAAAAAGAGAUUUGUGGAGGGAAAGUAAGUAAAAGACUUGCUUAACAACCAUAACGUCGUUAUCAUAAAAGCAACGUCUUUUUAAAAUGGCUGAUCAAUCAAUCUCUUCGUUGAAUUGAAAGUUUGUUGAUCUGGAAGUAAAGGAAGUAUACAGGAAAGCCUUGAAUGGAGUGAGAAAAUUGUAAUCAUAGCUUAGAAGUAUUACAUUGUCUUGUACUUUUAUGGAAGCUUUGUUUUUUUUUUAAAAAAAUGGUAGUAGAAUUUCUCUUUUUCAUUUUUGGUAAUAGGAGGAACAAUGUGAAUUGUGCCCCAACUUUUGGUAAUAGCUACUCUUUUCAACUCAUCUAAAUCUAAAGCAAGCCAUUGUUUUCUUGCUCUGUUUUAUUUUGUUUCUGCAGUACUUGUUUGAUCCUAGAAUGAGUUGGAUAGCAAUGGAUGGAUGAAUGGUGAAUGAGUUUGCAUGUGUUGGUGUUUGUAAAUCUCUUACUAAUUGGAGCAUUCUUUCAUUAAUAAAACUGGGAGUUCAGUCCAAUUCCAUUAUCAUCAAUCAUCCCAAUUAUAAUUCGCAGCUGAUCGUCUCCUAAAGACUUCUUUUUCUUUUAUGUUUCCAAUGGUUUCAGGAUCAGAAAACUGAAUUUAACUCCCAAAUUUUCAAAAUGAUUGUUAAAUAUGUGAGAAUUAAAAUGUGGCGUAUAGCCGUAUACAAACAAAGUGAAUGUCAACACAGCAGAUGAUAUAACAUUACUACCAACGGAUAUAAUUUGAAGACAUGAUAUUAUCACUCCUUCGUUCACGAUCUCACGACUUCAACACCUCUCGCAUCCACUUCACUCUCCCUUUAUCGCUGUUCUUCCGCCGCUCAAUGGCCACAACCACCGAGUCUGCCAGCCCAUCAAACACCCGCGUUGGCUGGAUUGGCACCGGAGUUAUGGGCCGCUCCAUGUGUGCCCACCUAAUCAAAGCCGGCUACAGUCUCACCGUCUUCACUCGGACCCUCUCUAAGGCCCAGCCUCUCGUUGACAUGGGGGCCAACCUUGCUCAAUCUCCUCUUGCCGUCGCCUCUCAAUCUGAUGUCGUUUUCUCUAUCGUCGGCUUUCCCUC
rnacentral:lncRNA from 1 species